UGUUUCGGCAAGGGGGUCAUCCCGACUUACCAACCCGAUGCAAACUGCGAAUACCGGAGAAUGUUAUCACGGGAGACACACGGCGGGUGCUAACGUCCGUCGUGAAGAGGGAAACAACCCAGACCGCCAGCUAAGGUCCCAAAGUCAUGGUUAAGUGGGAAACGAUGUGGGAAGGCCCAGACAGCCAGGAUGUUGGCUUAGAAGCAGCCAUCAUUUAAAGAAAGCGUAAUAGCUCACUGGUCGAGUCGGCCUGCGCGGAAGAUGUAACGGGGCUAAACCAUGCACCGAAGCUGCGGCAGCGACACUAUGUGUUGUUGGGUAGGGGAGCGUUCUGUAAGCCUGUGAAGGUGUACUGUGAGGUAUGCUGGAGGUAUCAGAAGUGCGAAUGCUGACAUAAGUAACGAUAAAGCGGGUGAAAAGCCCGCUCGCCGGAAGACCAAGGGUUCCUGUCCAACGUUAAUCGGGGCAGGGUGAGUCGACCCCUAAGGCGAGGCCGAAAGGCGUAGUCGAUGGGAAACAGGUUAAUAUUCCUGUACUUGGUGUUACUGCGAAGGGGGGACGGAGAAGGCUAUGUUGGCCGGGCGACGGUUGUCCCGGUUUAAGCGUGUAGGCUGGUUUUCCAGGCAAAUCCGGAAAAUCAAGGCUGAGGCGUGAUGACGAGGCACUACGGUGCUGAAGCAACAAAUGCCCUGCUUCCAGGAAAAGCCUCUAAGCAUCAGGUAACAUCAAAUCGUACCCCAAACCGACACAGGUGGUCAGGUAGAGAAUACCAAGGCGCUUGAGAGAACUCGGGUGAAGGAACUAGGCAAAAUGGUGC
rnacentral:rRNA from 1 species